rnacentral:ncRNA from 1 species
ACAGGUGCUGCAUGGCUGUCGUCAGCUCGUGCCGUGAGGUGUUGGGUUAAGUCUCGCAACGAGCGCAACCCCUACCUCCAGUUGCCAUCAAACUUUCGAGUGUUGGGCACUCUGGCGGGACUGCCUGCGUAAGCAGGAGGAAGGUGGGGAUGAUGUCAAGUCAUCAUGGCCUUUAUACCCAGGGCUGCACACGUCCUACAAUGCUCGGUACAAUGGGUUGCUACACUGCAAAGUGAUGCUAAUCCCAAAAAACCGAGCCAAGUUCGGAUUGCAGUCUGCAACUCGACUGCAUGAAGCCGGAAUCGCUAGUAAUCGCGCAUCAGCAUGGCGCGGUGAAUACGUUCCCGGGGUUUGUACACACCGCCCGUCACGCCAUGGAAGCUGGUAGUACCUGAAGUUGCCGGCCCAACCUUUUCGGAGGGAGGUACCUAAGGUAAGGCCAGUGACUGGGGCGAAGUCGUAACAAGGUAGUCGUACCGGAAGGUGCGGCUGGAUCACCUCCUUU